GCUUAGACAUUUUGACAGAAUAAUAUUCUCGCAUGCAAUGCUGCUAAAAAUAUCCUUCCUACGAUAAUCCUGACUAAUAAUAACCUUCCCCCCCCCCCCACAAAAACACAAAUAAUUUCUCCGAAAUCCAAUUCCAAAUCUCACGCUUCCAAAUUGCUCCAUGACUCACAUCUCCAAGAACCACCCCAAAUCCACCCCGAUCCGAUCGAUUCGACCAAACACAUCCAACCCCCCUCCUCCCCCAACAAGAAAAGAACCCAUUAAUUAUUCUCCUCCAAAGUUGUUGGAACACAUCUUCCCUCCCCUCCCCAAAUAAGAAAACUCUCGAGGAGGAGAAAAACAUCAAGGCAAGGGGUGGCGAUUCUUCUUUCCAACCCACUUGAAAUUAAAAGGUAAACGGAACGCGAAGGAUUAAAACGCGGGCAGAAUCCACCCCCUUCGAUCGAUCCAUCCCCUUCCCACCGCCGCCACCACCGCCCUCCUCUCGCCGCCACCACCACCACCACGAUUCGCAACAACUUAUUACAGAUCCACGUGAGAACCGAGCCUGUGAUCGGGACAAGGGCUCGAGAGGCAACGAACAACGACAGAGUUGGUCUGUCGAGGCGAGGCUGGUCGCUGGAUGGGUCGUUCAUCCCUCAAGAUUUCGAGAAAAUUCCCAAGUGGAGAGGAAGCAUUGAUUAAACGCUGGCCGUUGGGGGUUGGAUGGUCGAGGGACGGAGGGACGAUGGUUUAAGGGCGAGUGCGAGGGUUCUUCGCGUGAAUUUCGAUGUAAGGAGGUAAAGUUUGGAGAGAUUUUCGGUUAAGAAGUCGGGGCUAAGAAUUUUGGAAAAAUUUGGAAAGAUCUUUUUUUUUUAUAUAUAUAUAUGUAUUUUAA